rnacentral:rRNA from 1 species
AGCAGUCGCCACGGUAAUACCAGCACCUCGAGUGGUCAGGAGGUUUAUUGGGCCUAAAGCAUCCGUAGCCGGUUGCAUAAGUUUUCGGUUAAAUCUAUGUGCUUAACGUAUAGGCCGCCGAAAAUACUGUGCAGCUAGGGAGUGGGAGAGGUACACGGUACUCGAUAGGAAGGGGUAAAAUCCUUUGAUCUAUUGAUGACCACCUGUGGCGAAGGCGGUGUACCAGAACACGUUCGACGGUGAGGGAUGAAAGCUGGGGGAGCAAACCGGAUUAGAUACCCGAGUAGUCCCUGUCUCUUAUAC